rnacentral:rRNA from 1 species
UACGAAGGGGGCUAGCGUUGUUCGGAAUUACUGGGCGUAAAGCGCACGUAGGCGGACAUUUAAGUCAGGGGUGAAAUCCCAGAGCUCAACUCUGGAACUGCCUUUGAUACUGGGUGUCUUGAGUAUGGAAGAGGUGAGUGGAAUUCCGAGUGUAGAGGUGAAAUUCGUAGAUAUUCGGAGGAACACCAGUGGCGAAGGCGGCUCACUGGUCCAUUACUGACGCUGAGGUGCGAAAGCGUGGGGAGCAAAACAGG